AUGGCGUUGGCCAUGCAGCCUCAGGUGGCCGAGAUGUCAUACACCAGCGUGAACGGCACCACGUUGACAUACUACCGCGCCGAGGACGGUCAGCAGACAGCGAAGCUCGUGAGCCAACGCCGCAAAUGGUACACCGAGCAGGCGGUUGAUCCGGUGACCGGCCGUCUCACCGGCCACCCCGUCCCAGCGACGAGGCCGGAGCACCUGCCCAACGCGACACAGCUCAUCGCCGCCGCCAACAGCGGCUCACCCGCGGCGCUCCAGGCCGGGUGGGUCCACUCCAGCGUCCAGGUGGUGGUCUUCUCUGCGCCGGUCGGCCAGACCGCCGUGGUCUCCGCUGUCGUACACGCUGUCCUGGGCACCGCGGCCGAUCCGGCCGCGGACACUUACUGCGCGAUCACCGACAAGCACAGGGGCACGGCGAAGGUUUAUAAGCCUUUCGCUCGUGGGAGGCCCGGCCACGGCGCGAAGCUGAUGAAGACCUUGUUCUCGGAUAGCAACUGCACCGCGUCCGCCAUUGACAAGCCCGGUAUCGUGAUCCACAGCGUCGGGUCGGACCAAGUUGGGUGCACGAGCUUCGACCUCUCCGGCGUGAACCUGGUGGCAAGUAUCUGCGAAAUAUUCGCAGCAAAUGUCAUCGACUUCUCAAGAAGAAAAAGUUAUGUAAAAGAGAAAGCUCAAAAGUUUCCAAAUCAACGGCCCAGUCAAAGUGAUUCGCCUAUAUAUUCUCAUCCCAGAUCCGAAGAUUAUCCUCUCCAUGAAAAUUUUGUUUCCUUCUUCGCAGUAGCACACAUAUGGAGUCUGGCUAUUGCUCAGCGAGUUGAGCGGGGCAACCAAGGUCCGACGGAUCGGGGUGGCCGUCGUGUGCAUCGUGUGUGCAGUCACGAUAGUGGCAAUGGUGGUGUGCUUCCUCAUGCACGUGUGUUGUGGAAGGUCGGGGCGCGGGAGGUCGUGCUGGAGGCCGACCUAGUGCAACAGAAGGAAGCGCUCCAGCAAACGGAGCGCAAGAGCAUGAACAAGAGCAAUGCCUUCGUCCGCGCUAGCCACGACAUCCGCUCCUCGCUCGCUGCUGUCGCCGGACUCAUCGAGAUCUCCCGGUCGGAGGCCCUCGGCAAGACCAACCUCAUCUAUAACCUCAACCAGAUGGAUGUCGGCACCAAUAAGCUCUUCGUCUUCGAUAUUCUUAACACGAUACUGGACAUGGGCAAGUUGGAGUCUGGAAAGAUACAGCUAGAAGAGGUCGAGUUCAGGAUGGCACAUGUCCUCGAGGAAUCCAUGGACCUGGCGAACGUCAUUGGAAUGUCAGGAGGUGUCGAGGUGAUCUGGGACCCUUGCGACUUCUCCAUGCUCCGGUGCACCGCUACCGUCGGUGACUGUAAACGUGUCAAGCAGAUCCUCGACAACCUUCUCGGCAACGCCAUCAAGUUCACGCACGAAGGCCAUGUCAUGCUCCGGGCGUGGGCCAACCGCCUCGUCAUAAGGGGCUCCAUGAUCAGCACCCCGUCGAGGUUUGCGCCCCGCUGUCGUGCCGCUAGGGUCUUCGGUCGGCUACUUGGAAAGAGUGAGAAUUGUGCCGAACAGAAUGGCGGCUUGUCCUUGAAAAUUGAUCCUGAUUCGGUUGAGUUUUAUUUUGAGGUUGUUGACACUGGUGUUGGGAUACCUGAUGAGAGGAGGGAGUCUGUGUUUGACAACUACGUUCAAGUGAAGGCUGGGCAUGGUGGCACCGGGCUCGGACUUGGAAUUGUGCAAUCAUUUGUAAGCGAUCUCAUCUUUCUGCUCUCAAGUGCAUCAAUAGUUGGCGAUCGCCGCCGCAGCGGAUCGCCGCCGUCCGAACCCCGUGCGAGGCCACCCUCGCCGUCCCAACGUCGCCCGUCGCCGCCCUCGGCGUCUGGACGUCGCCCGCCGCCGCCCCCGUCGCCGCAUCUCACCGUCCCAACUUCACCCGUCGCCGCAUCUCACCGUCCCAACGUCGCCCGUCGCCGCAUCUCACCGUCGUCCGACGACGCGGACGUGAAGGGCCCGACGUCUGACGCUGCCCUCGCCGCCCGAACCCCGUCCGACACCGCCCUCGCCGUCGCAACGUCGUUCGUCGCCACAUCUAACCGUCGUCGUUUUAGGCGUGUUGACAUGGACGAAGAAUCUGCAUUCGGGAGGGACGAGAAUGGUACUGAUAAGGUGACUAAGACCAAUAACGAUAACUUGAACGAAGAUGAUGACAUCAGCGACAACGAUUCCGUCUCGUCAUAUGAUAUCUUACCUCCGGAGGAUUUUGAUAAUAAUGAACAUGGCGCAAAUAGCGAAAACGAAGAUGUGGAUGUUGACAAUGUGCAACAUAGUUGGCAGGAAUCAUUUACAGAUAACUUGAGCCAGGAACUGGGCGUAGGUACAGAUGCAGAAAAAAAAUUAAAAAAACGUGCUGGCCCUCCCUCGCCCGCGCGGGGCAACUCCCCCGGCCCACGGCCUCUCCCCGCGCCCCUCCCGCGGCCCACGCCCCCUCCCCCUCGCCCGCGCGGGAAAAUAGCGGCUGCAAACAACAGCCCGCACUGA
rnacentral:rRNA from 1 species